rnacentral:misc_RNA from 1 species
GAUGAAGAACGCAGCGAAAUGCGAUAAGUAAUGUGAAUUGCAGAAUUCAGUGAAUCAUCGAAUCUUUGAACGCACAUUGCGCCCCUUGGUAUUCCGAGGGGCAUGCCUGUUCGAGCGUCAUUACACCACUCAAGCUAUGCUUGGUAUUGGGCGUCGUCCUUAGUUGGGCGCGCCUUAAAGACCUCGGCGAGGCCACUCCGGCUUUAGGCGUAGUAGAAUUUAUUCGAACGUCUGUCAAAGGAGAGGAACUCUGCCGACUGAAACCUUUAUUUUUCUAGGUUGACCUCGGAUCAGGUAGGGAUACCCGCUGAACUUAAGCAUAUCAAUAAGCGGAGA